rnacentral:tRNA from 1 species
CAGUGAAUAGUUUAUUAAAAUAUUAAUUUUGGAGAUUAAAGAUGAGUUUUGACUUUUUACUGA